CUCUGGGCACCCUCACAGACAUGCUCUCCGGAGAGCCCGCUGGCCGUCUGUGCCCUCACUUGCUCCUUCAUUCAAAGCCUCCUGCCAAACGCUUUGUGUGCGGGGAAGCAGACCCAGCUCCUGCCGGGAAGGGUGCCAGUGCCCGGGACCGCGGAGCCACUGGUGCAAACACGGAAUUUAAAGUGGGGAGGCGGGGCAGGGGACGUGGACGCGGCCCCGCGGGCCCAGGCCAGGCCUGCCUGGGGAGGAGGUAUUUUGACUUUUAAGGCCACCCUGAAGGACAGUCCAUUGAUGACCUGAACAAAUGGGCCCUGUUUCUUGUCUCUCCCUUUAUACUUGAAGCAGAACACAUAGCAUUUGUGACAGAGAGCAUUUGGGUACAAGGUGACAGUUUACAGAGACCAUCUUCUGAAACAAGCAAAUUUGAAGUGUCCUGUUUGCUUUUAACCGCUGGAAAGCAGACCCCCCCCACCCCCGGACGAAGUAUCAGUGACAGUGCGGCUUCACUUUGAUCAGAGCACCCAGCGCUACCUGAAGGAGUUCGCAUGGUCUGUGGCUCAGGGACUGCGUUCCUAGAGACAGGAAGCGCACUUAGGUGAGGUCACAGUUGCAGGCUGAG